rnacentral:misc_RNA from 2 species
AAUUCUCAACCUCAUCAGUUUUGUAACGAGACUGUGUGAAGUUGGAUGUGGGGGUUUGUGCAGGCUGCCUCAGUGCGGUCUGCUCCCCUGAAAUGCAUUAGCGAGUUCAAACUGGGCUCCGUCUAUUGGUGUGAUAAUUAUCUACGCCGUGGAUUGGGCUUAGACUUGCUUCUAACCGUCCGCAAGGACAAUCUUUUGACA